AUAGAGGCCUACCAUGGUGGUAACGGGUAACGGGGUGUUAGGGCACGACACCGGAGAGGGAGCCUGAGAAACGGCUACCACAUCCAAGGAUGGCAGCAGGCGCGCAAAUUACCCAAUCCCGACACGGGGAGGUAGUGACAAUAAAUAACAAUACGGGGUUCUUUCGGAUCUCGUAAUUGGAAUGAGUACAAUUUAAAUCUCUUAACGAGGAACAAUUGGAGGGCAAGUCUGGUGCCAGCAGCCGCGGUAAUUCCAGCUCCAAUAGCGUAUAUUAAAGUUGUUGCAGUUAAAAAGCUCGUAGUUGAAUUUCGGGGUUAGUAGGUUGGUCAUGCCUCUGGUAUGUACUGGUCUCACUGAUUCCUCCUUCCUUAUGAACCGUAAUGCCAUUAAUUUGGUGUUGCGGGGAAUUUGGACUGUUACUUUGAAAAAAUUAGAGUGUUUAAAGCAAGCUAACGCUUGAAUACAUUAGCAUGGAAUAAUGAAAUAGGACGUUCGAUCUUAUUUUGUUGGUUUCUAGGAUUGACGUAAUGAUUAAUAGGAACAGACGGGGGCAUUCGUAUUGCGGCGUUAGAGGUGAAAUUCUUGGAUCGUCGCAAGACGCACUACUGCGAAAGCAUUUGCCAAGAAUGUUUUCAUUAAUCAAGAACGAAAGUUAGGGGAUCGAAGACGAUCAGAUACCGUCGUAGUCUUAACCAUAAACUAUGCCGACUAGGGAUCGGAUGA
rnacentral:rRNA from 1 species